GGGUGAGGGUGACCUGGCUGCAAACAUCUGUUACCCCAUUAAUCACUGUGGUUGAUCUGGCUGGCUAGGUAGGUGGGUGUCCUCUUCUUUCCUCAUUGCUCCAUGUGUGUCCCUCCCAAAACUGUGCUCUUGAUUGAAGAGGACAACCUUUCCAGAGAGGAGAACCGUUCUUUGGUCAAGAUAUAUGAGCAGCUGUUCUCCCUGCUAGAAUUUCCAGCCUCUAAAGUCCAAGUGUGGGCACCAGUUAGGUAAAUCACACAUGAUUCUUGCUCCCUGGCUCUGUGACACAGAUUUAGUGG
rnacentral:snRNA from 1 species